AACGAACGCUGGCGGCAUGCCUAACACAUGCAAGUCGAACGAGACCUUCGGGUCUAGUGGCGCACGGGUGCGUAACGCGUGGGAACCUGCCCUUAGGUUCGGAAUAACUCCCCGAAAGGGGUGCUAAUACCGGUUAAUGUCUUCUGACCAAAGAUUUAUCGCCUUUGGAUGGGCCCGCGUUGGAUUAGCUAGUUGGUAGGGUAAAAGCCUACCAAGGCGACGAUCCAUAGCUGGUCUGAGAGGAUGAUCAGCCACACUGGGACUGAGACACGGCCCAGACUACUACGGGAGGCAGCAGUGGGGAAUAUUGGAAAAUGGGCGAAAGGCUGAUACAGCAAUGCCGCGUGAGUGAUGAAGGCCUUAGGGUAGUAAAGCUCUUUUACACGGGAUGAUAAUGACAGUAACGGGAGAAUAAGCUCCGGCUAACUACGUG
rnacentral:rRNA from 1 species